rnacentral:rRNA from 1 species
UGAGGAAUAUUGGUCAAUGGGCGCAAGCCUGAACCAGCCAAGUAGCGUGAGGGAUGACUGCCCUACGGGUUGUAAACCUCUUUUGUUUGGGAAUAAAGUGCGGGACGCGUCCCGCAUUGCAUGUACCAUUUGAAUAAGGACCGGCUAAUUCCGUGCCAGCAGCCGCGGUAAUACGGAAGGUCCGGGCGUUAUCCGGAUUUAUUGGGUUUAAAGGGAGCGCAGGCCGUGGGUUAAGCGUGUCGUGAAAUUCCGUCGCUCAACGGCGGACGUGCGGCGCGAACUGGUCCAC